CCUACGGGAGGCAGCAGUGAGGAAUAUUGGUCAAUGGACGAGAGUCUGAACCAGCCAAGUAGCGUGAAGGAUGACUGCCCUAUGGGUUGUAAACUUCUUUUAUAUGGGAAUAAAAUGUUCCACGUGUGGGAUUUUGUAUGUACCAUAUGAAUAAGGAUCGGCUAACUCCGGGCCAGCCGCCGCGGUAAUACGGAGGAUCCGAGCGUUAUCCGGAUUUAUUGGGUUUAAAGGGAGCGUAGGGGGGUUGUUAAGUCAGUUGUGAAAGUUUGCGGCUCAACCGUAAAAUUGCAGUUGAAACUGGCAGGCUUGAGUGCAGUAGAGGUGGGCGGAAUGCGUGGUGUAGCGGUGAAAUGCUUAGAGAUCACGAAGAACUCCGAUUGCGAAGGCAGUUCACUGGACUGCAACUGACGCUGAGGCUCGAAAGUGUGGGUAUCAAACAGGAUUAGAUACCCCGGUAGUC
rnacentral:rRNA from 1 species